GGGAGGGACAGAAGGGAGGGCCGGGGUGGGAACAGUGGGUGUCCGGGCAUGGGAGGAGGGGCCGGAGGCCGGAGGCCGGGAGGGGCGGAGACCGAAGCAGAAGCCCUGGAUCCUUGGGCGGGAACUGGCCAGGAGAGAUGGGGGCGGAGCGAAACGAAGGGAGGUGCCUCCAGGGAGCGGGGAGGGGAUUGGCGAGAACGACUAGGGGGCGGGUAAUGGGUGGGGCGAAGGGAAGGAAGGUGCGCGCUGAGUGGGAUAGGGCGGAAGUCGAGGUCCGCUGCGGGGGCGUGUCCGUGGAGCGGAGGGAGGUGAUUGGCGACGGAGGCUGGGGGCGGGGCGCAGCCCGACGACCGCUUUGAGCGUGAGCCUGGAGGGGCAGGGUGAGGGCUAUGUGCUGCUGACUGCGGAUGCAAACAGAAGACUCCCCGCCCUCAGGGAGCCCACCGUCUAAUGGGGGAGAAGACACGUAUAGGAGGUCCCCUGGUCAAGCUGCAAGUCCAGCUUUCAUGAUGCUGUUACACUAUUAUCAGGAAACUAAGGCAAACAACAGGGCAAAGUGACUUG